rnacentral:rRNA from 1 species
GACGAACGCUGGCGGCGUGCUUAACACAUGCAAGUCGAACGGUGAAGCUCCAGCUUGCUGGAGUGGAUCAGUGGCGAACGGGUGAGUAACACGUGAGCAACCUGCCCCUGACUCUGGAAUAAGCGCUGGAAACGGCGUCUAAUACUGGAUACGAGAAGGGUCCGCAUGGGCACUUUCUGGAAAGUUUUUCGGUUGGGGAUGGGCUCGCGGCCUAUCAGCUUGUUGGUGAGGUAAUGGCUCACCAAGGCGACGACGGGUAGCCGGCCUGAGAGGGCGACCGGCCACACUGGGACUGAGACACGGCCCAGACUCCUACGGGAGGCAGCAGUGGGGAAUAUUGCACAAUGGGCGAAAGCCUGAUGCAGCGACGCCGCGUGAGGGAUGACGGCCUUCGGGUUGUAACCCUCUUUCAGCAGGGAAGAAGCGAAAGUGACGGUACCUGCAGAAGAAGCACCGGCUAACUACGUG